GAUGAACGCUGGCGGCGUGCCUAAUACAUGCAAGUCGAGCGAAUGGAUUAAGAGCUUGCUCUUAUGAAGUUAGCGGCGGACGGGUGAGUAACACGUGGGUAACCUGCCCAUAAGACUGGGAUAACUCCGGGAAACCGGGGCUAAUACCGGAUAACAUUUUGAACCGCCUGGUUCGAAAUUGAAAGGCGGCUUCGGCUGACACUUAUGGAUGGACCCGCGUCGCAUUAGCUAGUUGGUGAGGUAACGGCUCACCAAGGCAACGAUGCGUAGCCGACCUGAGAGGGUGAUCGGCCACACUGGGACUGAGACACGGCCCAGACUCCUACGGGAGGCAGCAGUAGGGAAUCUUCCGCAAUGGACGAAAGUCUGACGGAGCAACGCCGCGUGAGUGAUGAAGGCUUUCGGGUCGUAAAACUCUGUUGUUAGGGAAGAACAAGUGCUAGUUGAAUAAGCUGGCACCUUGACGGUACCUAACCAGAAAGCCACGGCUAACUACGUGCCAGCCGCCGCCGUAA
rnacentral:rRNA from 1 species